CAUAAAGAUUCUUCGGAUGACUUAUUGGGCGGCGAGCGGCGGACGGGUGAGUAAUGCCUAGGAAAUUGCCCUGAUGUGGGGGAUAACCAUUGGAAACGAUGACUAAUACCGCAUGAUGCCUACGGGCCAAAGAGGGGGACCUUCGGGCCUCUCGCGUCAGGAUAUGCCUAGGUGGGAUUAGCUAGUUGGUGAGGUAAGGGCUCACCAAGGCGACGAUCCCUAGCUGGUCUGAGAGGAUGAUCAGCCACACUGGAACUGAGACACGGUCCAGACUCCUACGGGAGGCAGCAGUGGGGAAUAUUGCACAAUGGGCGCAAGCCUGAUGCAGCCAUGCCGCGUGUAUGAAGAAGGCCUUCGGGUUGUAAAGUACUUUCAGCAGUGAGGAAGGUUCAUGCGUUAAUAGCGUAUGGAUUUGACGUUAGCUGCAGAAGAAGCACCGGCUAACUCCGUGCCAGCAGCCGCGGUAAUACGGAGGGUGCGAGCGUUAAUCGGAAUUACUGGGCGUAAAGCGCAUGCAGGUGGUUAGUUAAGUCAGAUGUGAAAGCCCGGGGCUCAACCUCGGAAUUGCAUUUGAAACUGGCUAACUAGAGUACUGUAGAGGGGGGUAGAAUUUCAGGUGUAGCGGUGAAAUGCGUAGAGAUCUGAAGGAAUACCGGUGGCGAAG
rnacentral:rRNA from 1 species